rnacentral:rRNA from 1 species
CCUGGGCGUGCUAUACAUGCAGUCGAGCGGACAGAUGGGAGCUUGCUCCCUGAUGUUAGCGGCGGACGGGUGAGUACACGUGGGUAACCUGCCUGUAAGACUGGGAUAACUCCGGGAACCGGGGCUAAUACCGGAUGCUUGAUUGAACCGCAUGGUUCAAUUAUAAAAGGUGGCUUUUACCUACCACUUACAAAUGGACCCCCGGCGCAUUACCUAGUUGGGGAGGUAACGGCUCACCAAGGCAACAAUGCUUAGCCGACCUGGAAGGGGGAUCGGCCACACUGGGACUGAAACCGGCCCAAAUUCCUACUGGAGGCAGCAAAAGGGAAUCUUCCCCAAUGGACAAAAGUCUGACGAAGC